rnacentral:lncRNA from 1 species
UGGUCAUAGAUCAUUUGUUUCUCUGUUUGAAGCUGAUUCUUCUGUUGUUGAAGGAGUGUGCUUUGUAAUAGAUUCUCCGAACUAUGAAUAGUACCCAGAGCAAGCACUCCUUAAGCACAAUAGCAAAUAUGGAUGACAACUUCCAAGACAUAAAGGAGGCUUAUAGAAAGAAGAAUCGUUAGGCUGGAUGUACAAAAUAAUACACAGAUUUAUUAUAUUUCUCCUGAUUAUUGCAACACACCACAAAGCAAAACAUAUCAAAAAACAUUGGAAUAAUUAUACCUCCCCACUAAACAAAUAGAAACAAAAAUUUCUUACAAAGAAAAGAUAUACAAUUGCCUUCCCUACAUAACAUGAAUACAAUCCCUAUAAAAAAAUAAAUGCCUUGAAAC